UACGUAGGGGGCAAGCGUUGUCCGGAAUCAUUGGGCGUAAAGCGCGUGUAGGCGGCUCGGUAAGUCUGCUGUGAAAGUCCAGGGCUCAACCCUGGGAUGCCGGUGGAUACUGUCGAGCUCGAGUCCGGAAGAGGCGAGUGGAAUUCCUGGUGUAGCGGUGAAAUGCGCAGAUAUCAGGAGGAACACCAAUGGCGAAGGCAGCUCGCUGGGACGGUACUGACACUGAGGCGCGAAAGCGUGGGGAGCGAACAGG
rnacentral:rRNA from 1 species